CGUCCGCUCAGGGUUAGUCGGGACCUAAGCCGAGGCCGAAAGGCGUAGGCGAUGGCAAACAGGUUGAAAUUCCUGUACCACCUUCUUCCCAUUUGAGCGAUGGGGGGGACGCAGCAAGGAAGGGCAAGCGCGCUGUUGGAUAUGCGCGUCCAAGCCGUUAGGCUGAUGAACAGGCAAAUCCGUUCAUCGUAAAGGCUAAGCGGCGAUGGCGAGGGAAAUAACAGUACCGAAGUUCCCGUCCCUACACUGCCAAGAAAAGCCUCUAGCGAGGGAAGU
rnacentral:rRNA from 1 species